rnacentral:lncRNA from 1 species
AGAGAGCUGGGAGCCUGUGCUCUAGGGUAUUUCAACUGGGCCUGCACCUCUUCCUUCUUCAAUACCAGAAUAAAUCCCUUGGCUUCUGAACCCUUCUCCUUCCAUUAGCUUGAAGGACACAGAGCAGGAAGAUCCUUGCAGGGCCGAACUCCAAAUGGCAUGUGAAUUCUUCACAACACCCUCAGUCUAAACCCAUCCAUGACCACAAAAUCCACUCAAGUCAGUUGUUCAAGGCUGCAGUCAUAAAUGCUGGCUUAACAGGUAAAAUUUAGUCUUGAUCUGCUAUUUCUUUUUAAAGUCCAGUUGAUGUUGUUAAAAGUCAAAUGUUGAUUAUACUUAUUUCAGUUCUCAACACACUAGGGAAUUUAAAUUGGAAACUGGGAAAUAGGGAAAUUAAUGUUUGACACCAGAAGAUGGACAUCUCAUCAAAUUAGACCCCAAAUUUCAUAAACAUUACUUUGCAAAGAAAACCUUAGACUUGACAAUACUAUAAAUUAUAUAAUUCAUGGUCAUUAGCAUGAUCCUAGUACUUAAAGUGAAACUUAAUAUGGAAUCAUAUCCAGUCGGUUACCUAUUUUAUAUGAGGCACUUCACUGUAAUGGGUUUAUCACCAAACCAUAUGUGUGAGUGUGUGUAUACAUUCUAAUAUGAAUAUUAUUAUAUACGAAUGGUCUCAUAUGUCUGAAUAUUCAUAUAUAUACGAAUAGAAUUUUCUUCCCAGCCCUAACUGCUUUCUGGAGUAGGGCAUUUUCCUACCACUUUCUGGACACUUGGAGCCCAAAAUUAGCCAAGAUAAUGUUGCCAAAUUAUCGGUCGCCUCUGUAUACCCAUGCCAAAUAGAAACGGAAACAGAGUUGGAGGAAACAAAAAGUAGCUUUAAUUGCCAGGCAAAGAGGGGAACGCGGCAGGCUAGUGCCUCAAGGACUGUGCCCCCUGGAGGGGAUCAUGAGGAGUCAUGUGUGAGAAGCAGGGCAUGGUCAGCUUGUGGACACUUUCCUGAUUGGUGGGUAGUGAGGUAACUGGGAGUCAGCAUCAUCAGUCUUCUGGUUCCAGCCAUUCUGGGGUCUAUGUGCUUGUGGGCAGCAUCUAGUUGACUUCUACCUGGUGGGGGCUUCAGCACUUGCAAAACAGCUCCAAGGACAUGGCUCAGAAUAUUAUCUGUGGUCUUUGAAGAACUGAAGGUCCUUGACUUUGUUGAAUGACUGAAUUAUCAUUACUGUUUUCUCUCCCUAUAUAUAUAGAAAGAGUAUGUACAUUUAUAUAUAUACAGGUAUAAAUUUAUAAAUUUAUAAAUAAAUAUUAAUGUAUAAAGAUGCACAUAAACAUAAAUUUAUCAAUAAAUAUUAAAUAUAUAAAAACACAUAUAGAUAUGUAUUCAUUAAUUUCCUUAAACUCUCCUUUAUAAAACACAGAAAAGAGUCAGUCAGGGUGGUUUUCUCCCUUCAGUAAUCAAAUCUUCUAAACUUUGCUAGAUAAACAGGUUUUUAUGAUGGUCUUUUAGGAUGUAUAUGCGUAAUAAUAUUAUUGACAGUACUUUAAAUGUUAUUUAUGCAACCAUAUCAUGAUGUCUUAAUAUAAUGUAUAAAAUUUAUGCCUUAUUUCCAUGAAUUUAGAAAUACUUUAGGAAUUUUGUAGAAAAUUCCAAUUGUUAUUGCUUCAUAGAAGAAAACUUUUACAAAUUGAAAUUUAAAAAGCAAUUGGGAGUUCCUGUUGUGGCUCAGUGGUAAUGAUCCCAACGAGUAUCCAUGAGAAUGUGGGUUUGAGCCCUGGCCCCAACUAAGUGGGUUAAGAAUCCGGAGUUGCCACAAGCUUUGGUAUAGGUUGCAGACAUGGCUAGGAUCCCACGGUCCUGGGGCUGUGGUGUAGCUAACAGUCCCAGCUCCCAGUUACAGUUCGACCCCUAGCCUAGGAAUUUCCAUAUGCUGUGGUGCAGAAAU